AAAAAAUGUAUGAUAGAAGAUUUGGAGUUCGCUAGAAAAGCUCUACCUGUAUGAUCAAAGAACACGAAUUCUGGAAUUCAGGUACUCAUAUGGUAGUUAUUCAGGAUUUGUAAUCACACUUUAAGUAGAUAUUAUGCAAUGUGAAACCAACCCAGGCCUGAUUCUUCAACCACUGACAAGGAACUUGCUUCUAUGAUCGAGAGUGUUUCCGAGAAACAACAUUUUAC